rnacentral:lncRNA from 1 species
AAUUCAAACCCUUGAACAAAAAAACCUCGGAUUUACCAGAAUAUCUUAAAACUGUUUCAGAAACCACCGUAGACUUUGCGAUAAGCUGAAAGUACCACAGACUCCUCAGAGGUGGUUGAUCCACUGAGUACCUGCAGGCCUUCCAGCAGUGAUAGGUUGGGAAGGAGAGAUGUUGAGAGAGUACAGAAGAAGAGGCCUGCAUCACUUGCAGAUAAGUUUAUUGUCGUUAUCCAAAGCUCUGCAGGAUGGAUAUGCAGAACUUCAUGUGUCCUACUUUACCAUGACACCUCAUCCCAUGGCAGUCCGUGCUCCCAAUUGUUUGAAUCCUUCUUAAAACUCUUAACUGGGGCACAGAUAUCAGCAACCCAGAAGACUUGCAGAAGACGUGACCAAAAGUGGGAUGGAGAGAGCAACCAUACAGAGGAGCAUUUCUUUCA